rnacentral:lncRNA from 1 species
AGAUAUUCUUCUUUCUAGAGCUCUUCGUUCCUAGAUCGAUUUAAGGAAGCAGAAGUUAUGCCUACAAGACUAUUUGGCCUGUUUAGUUGACUUGAAGCAUACAGUGAACUGCUCAUAGUAGAAAGUGAAGAGGAUGGAGUGGUUGAACUUGAAGUUGAUACUGGCCUAUAACGCUGGUUGUCUUGCUUGUCUAGAUCUUGCUUUUCUUUGGGAUUCAGACUCUUCAUCCCUAACAGGA